UACGUAGGGGGCGAGCGUUGUCCGGAUUCAUUGGGCGUAAAGCGCGCGUAGGCGGCGCCGCAAGUCGGCCGUGAAAUCUCCAGGCUUAACCUGGAGGGGUCGGGCGAGACUGCGGGGCUAGAGGCGGGCAGAGGGCGGUGGAAUUCCGGGUGUAGUGGUGGAAUGCGUAGAGCUCCGGAGGAACACCAGUGGCGAAGGCGGCCGCCUGGGCCUGGCCUGACGCUGAGGCGCGAAAGCGUGGGGAGCGAUCCGG
rnacentral:rRNA from 1 species